rnacentral:lncRNA from 10 species
CCUGCCUCAAUAUUUUAGCAUUUUAUCCUUUCUCAUCUCAUUAAAAGAAUUCAUGCUGGACUGCACCGUGCCUCCCCCAGGGAGUGCAAAGAUAGCCCUUGGAGGGGAAUGAUGGAGGAGGAGGCAAUCAGACUAUCCCACAGAAGGAGGAACAGCACUGAAAUCCUUUCUCGCAAUCUUCCUGCAUUGUACACAGAAAAUUGAAACUGGGCCUCUUCCUUAUGCCUUAUACAAAAAUUAACUCAAGAUGGAUUAAAGGCUUAACUGUAAAACUCCAGACUAUAAAAACUCUAGAAGAAAAUCUGGGCAAUACCAUUCAGGACAUAGGCAUUGGCAAAGAUUUCAUGACAAAAUCACCAAAAGCAAUUGCAACAAAAG